GUUAUUGGAGUGCUGCAGUCAGGAGAGGACUUAUCUUCGUUACUAUGGACUACUGGGGCAGCGUUUUUGUAUGAUCAACAGAAUUCAUCAGGAAAACUUCGAAAAAUGUUUUGUGCAGCAGUACUCCAUGAUCCACCGGCUUGAAACCAAUAAACUGCGUAACGUGGCCAAGUUUUUUGCUCAAUACUCCAUGAUCCACCGGCUUGAAACUAAUAAACUGCGUAACGUGGCCAAGUUUUUUGCUCAUUUGCUUGGUACUGAUGCUCUGCCUUGGAAUGUUUUGGCUUACAUACGGCUGACAGAGGAGGACACAACAUCUUCGUCUCGUAUAUUUAUCAAGAUCCUAUUCCAGGUAAAAUAAUUUGGUCUCUAAUUUGUACAGCUUGCUUCAUUUUUUAUUUUUUCCAAAUAAGUUAUAGCUGCCUUCAUCUUUGGAACCUAAUAUUUUUUAAAAGAAUUUGCUGUUUCCGAGUAUCUACUUUCUAUUUAUCCAUCUGUUUGAAGUCUUUUAUCACUAAAUAUAUCACCACAUGUCAAAAGUUGCAUUUUGACCACGCGCAACAUCUUUACUCCUGCUCUUUUCUGUGAUUUUUGG
rnacentral:lncRNA from 1 species